AACGAACGCUGGCGGCAGGCUUAACACAUGCAAGUCGAGCGCCCCGCAAGGGGAGCGGCAGACGGGUGAGUAACGCGUGGGAAUCUACCCAUCUCUACGGAAUAACGCAUGGAAACGUGUGCUAAUACCGUAUACGUCCUUCGGGAGAAAGAUUUAUCGGAGAUGGAUGAGCCCGCGUUGGAUUAGCUAGUUGGUGGGGUAAAGGCCUACCAAGGCGACGAUCCAUAGCUGGUCUGAGAGGAUGAUCAGCCACACUGGGACUGAGACACGGCCCAGACUCCUACGGGAGGCAGCAGUGGGGAGUAUUGGACAAUGGGCGCAAGCCUGAUCCAGCCAUGCCGCGUGAGUGAUGAAGGCCCUAGGGUUGUAAAACUCUUUCACCGGUGAAGAUAAUGACGGUAACCGGAGAAGAAGCCCCGGCUAACUUCGUGCCAGCCGCCGCGGUAAGAC
rnacentral:rRNA from 1 species